rnacentral:rRNA from 1 species
GACGAACGCUGGCGGCGUGCCUAAUACAUGCAAGUUGAGCGCUGAAGGUUGGUACUUGUACCGACUGGAUGAGCGGCGAACGGGUGAGUAACGCGUGGGGAAUCUGCCUUUGAGCGGGGGACAACAUUUGGAAACGAAUGCUAAUACCGCAUAAAAACUUUAAACACAAGUUUUAAGUUUGAAAGAUGCAAUUGCAUCACUCAAAGAUGAUCCCGCGUUGUAUUAGCUAGUUGGUGAGGUAAAGGCUCACCAAGGCGAUGAUACAUAGCCGACCUGAGAGGGUGAUCGGCCACAUUGGGACUGAGACACGGCCCAAACUCCUACGGGAGGCAGCAGUAGGGAAUCUUCGGCAAUGGACGAAAGUCUGACCGAGCAACGCCGCGUGAGUGAAGAAGGUUUUCGGAUCGUAAAACUCUGUUGGUAGAGAAGAACGUUGGUGAGAGUAGAAAGCUCAUCAAGUGACGGUAACUACCCAGAAAGGGACGGCUAACUACGUG